AGAGUUUGAUCCUGGCUCAGAUUGAACGCUGGCGGAAUGCUUUACACAUGCAAGUCGAGCGGCAGCGCGGGGCAACCCGGCGGCGAGCGGCGAACGGGUGAGUAAUGCAUCGGAACAUGUCCAUGUCGUGGGGGACAGCCCGGCGAAAGCCGGAUUAAUACCGCAUACGCCCGAGAGGGGAAAGUGGGGGACCGCAAGGCCUCACGCGAUUGGGUUGGCCGAUGUCCGAUUAGCUAGUUGGCGGGGUAAAGGCCCACCAAGGCGAUGAUCGGUAGCUGGUCUGAGAGGAUGAUCAGCCACACUGGGACUGAGACACGGCCCAGACUCCUACGGGAGGCAGCAGUGGGGAAUUUUGGACAAUGGGGGCAACCCUGAUCCAGCCAUUCCGCGUGAGUGAAGAAGGCCUUCGGGUUGUAAAGCUCUUUUGUCCGGAACGAAACGGCCAGCGUGAAUAUCGCUGGCUACUGACGGUACCGAAG
rnacentral:rRNA from 1 species